rnacentral:lncRNA from 1 species
AAGAAAAAGGUUUUUUUUACUAUAUGUACUAUAUAUUAUAUAAGCUACCACAAAAACAUGGAAAUAUUAUAGUAAUGGGGCUUGAAAAAAUAAAAAAGUAAAUAUUAUCAACAAGGUUCAGUCACAGUGCUUAGCUGUAGUAACAAUUAAUAUGUAAAAUAUUUACAAAUAAACAAAAACACCUCAGAUUAUGUAUUUUUUAUAAAUCUCUUAGCCGCUAGACGACACUGCUAAUCUUGGAUAUGUAAACAAACUACUUUUAGUAAAAAAUACUCUUUUUUUUUUAAUGAAUACUGUACGCAUUUAUAAUUUAAAAUGAAGUAUUAAUAAAAUUAUGAUACUCUUUUUUUAAUAAUUGAGUUUUAAGUGGGACGAACUGUUAGAGUUGUUAAUCCUAAGCAUGAUUUACCUUAUAUUUUUUUAGUUGUUGGCAAUCUUAACAGGCGUUUUUAUAAAUUUUGUUCAAGCUGUUAUCAUUAUUCUUUCAUUAUUGAGAAGAAAACACCCAAGUAUAAACUUUAGCUAUUAGUAUUUGUGCUCAUGAAGGACGGAGAGUAACACUGAGGAUUUGUUAGGAGUUAUAAUUGUAAGUCUCCGUUUGACUCAAAGUAAAACUGUUUUUUUGACAACUGGGUAAUUGUUGCAUAUGUCCUUGAUAGAUAAAGAGUGGGAGAUGUUUUCUUUUCCUUCCUAUAAUUACUGUUUGAAAGGAUUCGUGGUAUAUAAGGAAAUCUCCCUCUGAAUGAUGUCAAAAAUAAUAUAUUAAACCAUGAGAAUUUAAAAAAACACAAGUGACAAUAGGCAGUCUCAUAAGAGAAAUAAAUAAAUAAUAUAUGCUUGAUUCCAAUAAAUACAAAAAUACGGCAGUUUAGACAAAAACAUAUUCUAUACCAGCACUUUGUGUUGAUUACAAAAAAAAUAGGAUCUCAAGUUUUUUUUGCGUUCUAGAGUAGAAAAUAUCUUUGUAGGUUACUGACUCAUAAGAUCUCUACCAUCGUAUUAUGUUGUCUUCAGAGUUAUCACAUUUUUAUAAAAUAUCAUCAAGCCUUGUUUUUACGAUCACUAGGAUUCCGGAAAUGAUCAUCUCUAGAGAUGAUAAGUAGAGAUGGGAAAUUUUAAAAGACGUUCACUUGUCCUUGUUUAAAUAAAAAGAUUCAUAUUUGUGUUAAUAUUUGUUUUCUUCAUAUUUAUAAGCAGACCAGGUAAAUUUUAGAAGGACAAAAUCACUCUUGGAGUUGGAACUAUAGAUUCGUUGAUUUGAUUUGCUGUACAUGAGUACAAAGUAUAUUAUCAUCUGCGAAUGUUUCAUCUUUAUCUUCUAAAAUUCCAUCAGUGGCGCUCUUAGACAAUAAUAAAAGGGGCAGUUGGCCAGUUGAUAUUUUUUUCAUGACACAUGGGGUUGGCUCUGAGAUCUUGAGGGGCAUAUGCCUCUAAAACAGUUUUCAAUAAUUUGUCAUGUUACUGUGUUGGAAAAAUUGGUGCUUUUUGGACAACAAAACAAAAAUGUAUGUGAGAAAAUAAAGUGAAGAGACACAGGAGACAGUUCACUAAGCAAACUAAGUUGUACAAUAUAUACAUAUAUAUAUAUAUAACAUAACAACAAUUACAGGCAAAAAUAAGGGAGUUCAAAUCAGGUUCUUAGAAAAUCCCCGAGCCUUGUUCCUGACAUAUGCGACACAUAGAUUAAGUUAGGUUUGUGUAAUGGUGCGAAGGGAUUUGGUUUGAAAAACUAUCUGACUGAAGAACCAUGUAUACAUUAUUUUAAGUAUAUAAAUUGUUGACAUAAACAAAGUGGGAGAGCAAGAUCAAGACCAUCAAUCCCGUAAGGUACCAAGAAGCUACAAUGUGAGAGGUUUUUAUUAAGAUGUGAGACAAGAUCAAAGGCCCUGCAAUAAAUCAUCGGCUCGAGUUUUCUCUGAGGAGGUGGAGUUGUUCUACUUAAGUAUAUCCACGGUUGUUUGGUAUGACAUCAUAUUUGGAAUACAGCAUGUCAGCAAUCUUAUAUGAAAGUAUUUUGAAGAAAAUUGAGCAAAGUCUCUAGAGACACAGUGUAAGUGGCUGUGUCACAGAAUAGAUGAGAGCCAAAAACAUUUUUGAAGACAUAAAUCUUGAGGCAGUAAAGGAUUGUGUGGGUGAGUAUGGCUUUAAAAGACAUAGAAAGUAUAUGGAGGCUUGUAAGUGUUGAGCUAUUUGGGUGUUCUGGUCAAUUAUUUUCUCUCGUUCAGCCUUCAGUUAUUAUUUCCAUUCUGCGUUACAAUCAUAAAAUAGAACCAUAUACUCUGUACCACAGCCAAUCGCAGCUUCCCUUUGAUUUUGUCAGGGAGGCCUAAUUUGAGAACUAGGUAUCAAACUUUUUUUAAACAUUCAUCCAGAGAAUAUUUGUGUUCAAAGGAGAUACAACUCACUAAAAUCGGUUCAUUUAUUGUCGAGAUCGAGCCCAAAACGCAAAUUAUAGCAGAUUAGAUUCACUCACCAGCACCACCACAACACAAGAAAAACUGGACUAUGGACUAGUUGGGACACUCCAGGAACAACCGCUUCCUCACCUACAUGAUGGAUGAAGCUUCAUCAGUUAAUCAGACUAAGUUCACAACCUCCACUAUAAUCUUCAGACGAGAAGGGAAUGACAACGUAUUGGUUCAUGAAAGACCUGAAAGUCGGCCAAAAAGUACCAAGACGUUCUCAAAGAGAUGGCCAUACAGUGGAUAAAGUCCAACUAUCCAGAGGGAAACUAUGUGUUCCAGCAGGACUCUACCCCGAGGCACAAUGCCAGUACCACUUAAAAAAUUUUCGAGGAUAAUUUUUCUACAUUCUGGCCAAUUAAUAAGCCUUGUCUCUAUGAUUAAGAACUAUAGUACUAGUAAAGCUCAUUGAUUCUAGUUCAGGCAGAGUACUAGUAACUUUCCUGAUCGAUUGGAGCCUUCAAGGAGUGCCUGCUCAACCUUCUGUGCUACUGCUUUCAAAAUAAAUCUCCGAAGCUUUCAUCUUUACAUUAUCAGCUCUUUAAAUCAUAUUUAAAAAAGAAAAAAAUAUAUACUUUGAUUUCUUGAACUUUUGUAAGUACUAAUGGAACGGAAUGCUAAAAUCUAAUUUUUAGCAUUCAACGUUCAGCGUUAAAAAAAUAUCCAUUCCCUUCAGCUUUCUGUUCAUUGAACCCACGGUCCAUGUAACGCUGUUCAAUUUUGUGUUCUGUUCACAAUCCUGAAUAUAUGUAUACUUUAUUAUAUAAGAGUCAAAGGUGAAAGGAACGUAAAUAACUUCGCUAUCUAUAUUUUUUACUUAGGAAGAUUUUUAAGUUGGAUUAACAAGAAUAAAACGCAUAAAUUCGUGAUAAUAUUGGAUACUAUGUAUGUUUCCUUUAAGUUAGCCGAGCUUAACCUUAAAUUUAUAAUAAAUUAUGACAUAUAAUUACGAGUAAUUAUGUUCUUAUAAAUACAGGAAACAAACUAUGACACAGAUGAUUAAUUUUAAAUUUUUCCCCCAUUUAGUCCUUUUGGUUUGUCUCUAGCAAUAAUUUUAUGAAAAUCCUGUAAAACAAUGCAUCUUUUUCCUUAUUUACACAUACUGAUUAACUACACCCACUACUGAGGAAAAAAUGGAUAAAAUUAUUUUUAUUCUUACGAUUAAGAUAUAAUUUAAUUUCAUACUUAUCCCGGUACUGAUACUUGUCAACAUAAUAUAUCUAAAAUGAUGUAAAAUAAACCAAUUAUAUCCAGCAUUACAAAUCUCCCUCCUAAUUUGACUAGUAAUGAUAUGAAUGACCGUCUCAAAAUAUUAUAUUAUCUUUCUUUUAUAUACCUAUAUACAUAUAUAUAUAAAGCUUUUGCUACACCCUCGUUGUUAAAAAUCAGUCCUUAUAAUAUAAUUUAGAGUUAAUAGAGUUAAUUAAAUACCUUUUUCGAAAAUUUAAAGAAAUCUUUCCACUUAAUUGUUGUUCAAAUUUUAUAGAAAGCUUUAAUUUAUCAUUUUUUUUCAUAAUAUUACAAAGUGGUCUAAAUUCAAAAAAGAAAGAACGCAGUCUACACUAAAACAUGUAUUCCUGUUUCACGUGAUUUUUCUACAUAAAUGCACAAUUAGGAAGGGAGAUUAGCUUUGGGAAAUUUUGAGUAUUUAUUUUGAUUCUGCCAAUUUAAAAGAUGCUUACCAUGGAAGGAGUGGACAUCAAUGAUUCAUUGUGAAAUUAAAAAAAUAUACAGAUGUCUAAAAAAUUUCCGCCCUCCCGUAAUAAAAGGUACAAUUUAUUAAAUGACUAUAAAUAAAAUUAGUCCUAGCGGGUGAAUAUAAAUAUCAAGUGGUCAAGGAGCUCCGUCUCUUGUCUCUUAAUUUUAAAUUAUUUUAUGGUUGUUUAGUCUUUUUCAUUUAGAUUUGUUUACAAAUAAGUGAUUAUAAGUGUGAUCUUCUCGGUUCCCCUUCUGAGUUUUUCCUUUUUUAUUUAUAAUUUAAUUGUAAGGGGAUUAAAACGAAUUAAUAACGUCUUGUUUACAUGAUAAUAUACUUUUUCCAUUAAAUAUUUCAUAUUUUUAACUGAUGAUUCAGCAUUUCUAUUUGACUCAGCGUAAUAGGCUGAUUAAAUUUCGUUGAUAAUGUCGUUAAAAUUAGAUAACUUUUUAAAUUAUUUACUUUUAAAUUCAGGACCACCAUCACUUCUUACAUGUUUUGGGAACCCCAAGUCAUAAAAUCAAUUAAGUAGAAUAUUAGUUACCUUUGUUGUCGUAGUAUUUUUCAAUGGUGCAAUCCAAGUAAAUCUAUAGACCAUCAAUAAAAAAUCCUGGUGAAAUAAGUCGAGGGAUACUUGUUCCAUAGGUUGACUUGCGAUCGUUUUAUUAUGUUCUGUCGGUUUUGGUUGACCGGGAUGAAUUUCUAUACAUUUUUUACAUGAUUUAAUAAUUGUCUUAAUUGAAUUGUUCAUACAAGGCAAAAAGUAUCGAUCAAGUAUCUCAGGCUAACUUUUGGUCUCUAACCAUACCGGGAUGAGAUAUAUAUGUUAUUUCUUCAAAAUAAACUAACAGAACUACUUGAUUUAAAAUUUUUCUCCAUUCAUGAUUAGUAGUUUGUUUUUCAUUGAAAUAUUAUUACAAUUAACUCGUAAGAACGUAAUGGAUAAGUCUUCGAUAUAUAAUUAAUUUAUUAUCCUUCCAAAAUCGCUAUUAUGAUUCCUUGAUAAUUUAUAUCUUCACUUGCAAAUUUAUCAAGUUCUUUUAGUUUAGGAUCAGACUAGGAAUUUUCUUUUGAGGUCGAUCUGACCUAGAAAAUUGUGAUUAUGCAUCUGCAAGAAUAUCUUUUUUCCUUAAACCUAUUUAAUUUUGAUGUUAGAAGGUGGUGUGCCCUUUAAAAAUCUUAUAAAUCGUGGAUUUAAUGUAUCAACUCGUUUGAAUAUCCAUUACAAUGGUUUAUGAUCUGUUUUGACAUAAAUAUUAGCACCUUUUUAAUAGUACUAACAUUUUUCCAUACUCCAGUCAAUUGCUAAACAUUCAAGUUCCAUAGCUGAAUAUUGUUUUUUUUGGGUGGAGAUAUUGUUCGAAAACCACAUUAAAUUAAAUAUUUUAUGUCACAUUCACUCCUUUUAUCAAGUUGAAUGAGAGCAAGACCAAUACCAUUAAGUUUACUCGUGUCAGUAACCAACUUUAUAAUAUUUUUUUAAAUCAAAAGGAGCAAAAACUGAUGCUGAGCUCAUAAUUCUUUUUAAUUCACCGAAAGCUUUUUGUUGUUCUUUUUACGAUUGAUAUUCAAAAUGCUUCUUUAAUAGUUCUCUUAAUGUUACUGUAACUUUUGUAUCGUAUGAAUGAAAUUGUCUAGUCCAAUAAAUGAUCUUAAUUUAAUAAGAUUUCUUGGGUCUGGGAACUUCCGAAUUCCAUCAUUUUUUUCGGUAUCUGGUUUGAUACCUUCGCCAGGUAUGAUCAUACUUGUAAAUUUUACUUUUGAUCCAUAUUGAAUUUCAUCCUUUGAUAAGUAAUUUUGUUCUUCUCACGACGUUUGAGUAUUUCUUCCACCUUUUGUAAAACUUCAUCUUCAUUUUCGCCUAAUAUCAAAAUAUCAUCCACAAUUUUCCUUACAUUCUUGAUUCCUUAUAAAACUGCAUUUUUCCUUGAGCAAAAUUCCUUGUUAGAACUACAAAAAACCAUUGAAUAUCGACAAUAUCGAAAUGGUCCUCAAGGAACUGAUUGAAUAAUAUCUUUAACAGAUGGAAAAGGAUGAAUUGGAUUCCUGAAAUAUCGGUUUAAACGUCUAAAAUCAGUUCAAGUCUCAUUCCUCUACCAUUUGGUUUUGGAACCAUCAUUGAACACCAUUCCGUAACACCUUGUUCUGGCUCAAUGAUGAGACAAGGAGGAUGUAAAAUAACUAAACUAGGACAUACUAAAUAAACUUAUCUGGCAACUUAACUUACUACAUAUUAUGGGGGUCACAUCUUUCGAGGAAACUGUUCCCUAGAAGAGUGAUUUCCAAACUUUUUUGAGUUUGACAGUUAAAAUAUGUGGCUAGACAAUGUAUCACCAAUAUACCCCCAUUAAGAGAUGAAUAUAAAAUUUGGGAGUGCAUUUUAUACAAGUACAUUAUUCAAGGGCCAUAUCUACCCUAUGAAAGCUUAUAAUAUAAGUUAUUUGAAAAUAUUGUUGGAAAUGAAGAUUUUAAUUCUACAUAUAGUGAGAAAUAUAAGAAAAAAUUUGAAAUACGAAGAUAAAUAAUCGAAUAUAUUGUAAAUAUAAAAUGUGUUAUAUAUGUACUAUUUGGAAUAAUUUCAAUACUAUCUUUUUUGCGGUAAAGAAAGUCAAAAUUUAGAAUCCUAAUCAAAUAACAUUACAUUUGUAAGGAUGUGCAUAUAGUUUUAUAAACGAAUCAAGUUUUUAAUUUGGCAGAUUGCACUGUAUAUUGAGGAAAGCAGGUCUAUUCUAGGUUUAAUUUUGGACACAGCAAUUCGAAGAUCAUUCUUCUAUUUAAGCCCGAUUUAUAUUUAUUUUGGAUAUAAGUUAACAACAACAAAAGUCUUCUCACAUAAAUAAGCUGAGCAAAAUGGUAUAAGAAAAUAUAGAUUUGUUUUAGCCAGUAGUGGACACUCAUUCAUAAAAGAAAUCCAGAAUUCGUCAUUUGUUUUAUAAUAAAAAUCUUUUUUUUAGUGUUUGUUCAAAUGAAAUUUUAACUUUUAAUCUUUGGACGUAAAAAGGGAGUAUCUAGUUAAGUUUUGUGGAGCACUUUCUUCUAGAAAAUACUUUUUAACAUGAUCCAUAAAAGAUUUAUAAAAAAUGUGUAUAUUUAUCUUUAUUUAUGUUUUGUGCCAAAAUUAAAAUUAUAUUCUUCUUCUUUGGGAAUCAUCUAAGGUUUAUCAAAUUAAAACAACAGACAUCCUAAAUGCCUACUACGAUUGUUUCUAAUCCUUAUUUGUAUAAGGAGGUGUGAAAAUUCUGAUAAGAAAAUAUAAAAAAUAAACUGCAGUUUUUAUAACUACUAAUAUAAAUGAACAUAUUACAAAAGUUUUCAAGGUUAAUAAAGCCUCAGGUAACGAUUGGAUUGAAGGUUUAUUCUUCUAAACUUUUGGAGGAGAAAUUAUACCCUUUUUUUUUGUAAUUGGCAUAUCUAUUCGAGAAAUAUUGGAUUUGUUGAUGUCAGUUGGAGACCCAUAUCCUUGUUAAACGAAUUGCAUUGCGUCUGUUCGGGUAUUAUUGUCAAGGAAAUAGAGCCAAUUCACAACAAAAGGAUAGGAGGCCAUUAGAAAGGCUACUUGAAAAACAGAAAGAUUUGGAUAUACCACGUAACAUACAAUAUUUGAUAGAAUCAUUAGCUUUGAAUAUUAGGUUUGGUGCAAUUAUUGCAAUUGAUUUAGAAAGAAAUUUCUUUAAAAUAAACGGAACUUUCAUAUAGGGAUGUCCGAUAGCUCCCCUUAUUUUUAUUACGGCGAUGGAUACAUUUGCUCAGAAUAAAAGGCACAAAUACUCUGGGCUUGGAAUUAAUUUUGGAAAGUACAAAUAUCUUUAAGUCAUAUAUACCGAUGAUAUAACAAUGCCUGUAAAAGGGAACUCAGAAUCACGAUUGAGGACGAAGAUUGAUAUUUACGUUCGUUCUUCGCUAAGUAUGAGAAAAUAUCAGGUUUGGAAAUCAAUAAAAAGGAAACUCCAAUCCUCCUAGCGGGGCAUUGGGAUUCCAAGAAAGAUUAAGAAGUUCAUAAAUCCUCGGUUCAGUAUAUAUUUAAGGUUUUUGAAAUUCAUUGGAAAACAUAUAUAGAGUUUGUUCAAAUUAAAACUUUUUAGAAAAGUUUAUAAGCCUUAGGCUAGAUGAGUGCAGAAGACUGAAUUUGCAGACGCGUGCCAAAAUGUAUAACGUAAAGUUGAUUCAUCCAGUGCUUUAUUUAGCGACUACGUUGGAUAACUUGGAGGAGGGCUAGUGCAAUUAAGUCAUUGUCUGCCAAAAUACGUAAGAAAAUAAUAAUUGAUUUGUCAUGUAAUCCAGAAACAGAAUUGUGUUCUUUUAUUUACUUGUUAUUACUUUAUUUUAAUGCUUUAGUUUGUACUAAAGAAUUUAUAGCUAGCUAAUUUACUUCUGAGUGUUUAAUAAGCAUUCACUCUCUGAUGAAAUUUUUUAUUGCUUCUGAAGCAAAGUAUGCAUCCCUUUCCUUGAGGAUAUCUGUUACGACGAUAUAGAGUGGAACUGCACAGCAAACAUUGUUAAAUUUUUCCAAUAGUGGUCCAGUGAGCUCUACUAAACCAUUAAAUACUUAGUAAAUCGAUAACUAAAAUUAUCUGUUCUAGUGAUUCUCAUUUCUAUUGCAGAGUCACUUGAUAUUCUAUCAUCUCAAACCAUAACUUUAAUCAAUAGUACAAUAUGAAGAUUGAAGAUGUAAAUGCAAUUUUUAUAUAAUCUUGCAGCACAUGUUUUACAUUUUCAUAUUUAUGUAAUGUCAAUCCAAUUCAUGUUUGUACCUCAUAAUCCAUUUCAAUUAAUGUAUCAUGAGGACUUUUACUGUUUCCAGUUUAAGUAUUACUAUAUUAGCUGGGCUCCACCAACUAGGGCCUGUAAGUGGCAGCCUUAUUCUUGGCUUGGCUAAUUUAAAUUAGACCGAUUUUUUUCUUUGCACAAGUUUUUACCGAUGUUUUUUUUUGCAACAAUAUUUACCGAAUUUUACCUUUGGACCGAUGUAAACAUAAUUUUUCUAUGAGACCGAUCUAAACCAAUUUUUUUUAAAGGACCGAAUUAGUUCUGUCCAAAAAAACUCAUAACGGUAUCAGAUCUAGAAUUUACCUCCAAAACCUUACCUUGUUACCUGGGCUUUGCCACGUAGCCCCUUCGGGCAACGGUAAAUGUUAAGUAAUAAAGUACUUUUAUUCUUGCUGCCCUUCUUGAUUAGAUUACUAUAUUUAUCUUUCAAUUCGGAUGUCUUCAUCAUCUUUUUAUUUUGUUGCUAUUAUCACAAUUUUCAUACAUAAUUUUUUUCUCCUAUUAUAAAUAUAUUUCGGCAUUCAUUUUUUAAUCAAACCAAUUAAAUGUAUCCUUACAGGCUUAAUUAUAAAAAUACAUACUUAGUUGCCAAAUAUCUAAAGUAUACAAUUUUCAAAUACAUUAACCAAUUUAAAAAAAAAUUAUGAACAUGUUUUUUAUUUUUUAAAUUGAGUUUUGAUCAUUUAAAGGUCAAACUAAAAACUAUUCCUAACUUUAGUGCUUUUCGUGGUACAGUCUGUUUGAAUGCCUCCAAAAAUGGUUUAUCAAAAAUUUCUGUUUAUUUUUAUAAAAUAAUAACUAUUGAUUUUUUUAUGUAAACACAAAAAAAAUUUAGUUCGAUAACAGCCCAUAGACUGUAAAAAUUUUCAUGAAAAGAAAAAAAAAUUAUAGACAGUUUUUAUUCAAAAAGUGUAUUAUAAUUUAUAGACCCGUUACCAUAUUAGUUUUUUUCUUUCCUUAAUGAUAGUGACAAGAGCAAAAUUUCGUAUUUUAAUAUUUUAAAAUAAGAGCAUUAGAGAAAAUUAGUUUCUCAAUUCUCGUAAUCAUCUCUUUUAGUUCCACAUAAUAGUCUUUUGCUUCAUAUACUUAUAAUACAAUAACUUUCGAGUAAGCUUUGAUUUUAUGAAUUGCAUCAACAAUAUUAACAUUAUAUCAGCUCACAUUAUACUCAACCUUUAGUACUGGAAGUUUCCUUUGAUUUUAAUACGGAAAAAAGUAAGCUCUUAUUCUAAAAUUAUCCUGAAUGGGAUAUCUGAUAAACUGUUGAGUUGAUUGGAGGAGUAAAACACCUAUAUUUCUUUAUUUUAUAACUACAAUUAUUCACUGCAUCUUGUCUUAGAAGAUUCCCCAUUCGUAUUUUUUCAAUUUUUCUAAGAUUAAUGUGUGUGUUUCUUGUAUAAAAAUUGAUAUAACCAUAUUUUCUUUCGUUUGCUUCUUUUAAUAGGCCAUGACUUAUAGAACAGCAGGAUUUUUUAUUCGAUAGGUCUUCCUCAAAAUCCUUAUUCAAAUAUGUCAUUGUCUACACUUGAAUUUUAGAAGAGGUAUAAUCAAUUUUACAGAUAUCCUUAAUCCACAGCCUCCAACGAUUUCCCUCUCAAGGCAAGGAUGAUAGAAGAUUUUAGAUUCCUUUUUAUGGCGGAGAGGUGGAAAUUUUGAAGUGUCAGUUUCAUUCCUGCAUCUUACGACACAACAUUGAUUGGAGUAUGGAAAAACUCCUUACACUACAAGUCCAAGUGAAAUUUCAAUUCAUUUCCAAGUCCUUGAAUAUUUUUAUCAAGCUUUUCUUGAGUUAACAAUACUCUAGCUUUGGAGUCCAUGUUACGUAGUGAGACUUAGCUACGGAGUCCAAUUUAAGUAUCUCGUCUUUCAUGGGGAAAUCGAGUUGAAUCGCAAGUCUUAAAAGAUAGACUCAAGGCCCAGUCAAGAAUGAUAUUGUUUUAUAAAAUAAAUAAAUUUAUUUCCGCAAAAUCAAAAUGGCUUAUAAUUUUGUGUAUGUAUAAUAUGUAUAUUUAAUAGACUUUGUUUCU